rnacentral:rRNA from 1 species
AUGCACAUGACCUUCUACUGGGGCACGUCCGCGACGAUCCUGUUCGACGGCUGGCGCACGUCCGCGUGGACGGGCUACCUCCUCUCCCUCCUGGCGCUCUUCCUCGCCGCCGCCUUCUACCAGUACCUCGAGGCCUUCCGGAUCCGCGUCAAGCUCCUCGCCGGCGCCAAGGCGUACCCCCUGCCCCCGCCCGCCGGCUCCGACGCGCGGGCCCCGCUGCUCGCGCCGGGCUCCGCCGCCUUCUUGGGCGGGCGCUGGCCGGCGCGGGUGGCCACGGCGGCGCUCUUCGGGGUCAACGCGGGCAUAGGGUACCUCCUCAUGCUCGCCGUCAUGUCGUUCAACGGCGGGGUGUUCAUCGCCGUGGUGCUCGGGCUCGCGGCCGGGUACCUGGCGUUCCGCAGCGGCGACGUGGGCGGGGACGACCUCGUCGUGGUCGACAACCCCUGCGCCUGCGCGUAG